AAUAGAUACCCAGGUAGUCCACGCCGUAAACGAUGGAUACUAGCUGUUGGGGGGCAACUUCAGUGGCUAAGCGAAAGUGAUAAGUAUCCCACCUGGGGAGUACGAACGCAAGUUUGAAACUCAAAGGAAUUGACGGGGGCCCGCACAAGCGGUGGAGCAUGUGGUUUAAUUCGAUGAUACGCGAGGAACCUUACCAAGGCUUAAAUGCAGACUGACCGAUUUGGAAACAGAUCUUUCGCAAGACAGUUUACAAGGUGCUGCAUGGUUGUCGUCAGCUCGUGCCGUGAGGUGUCAGGUUAAGUCCUAUAACGAGCGCAACCCCUGUCGUUAGUUGCCAGCGAGUCAUGUCGGGAACUCUAACAAGACUGCCAGUGCAAACUGUGAGGAAGGUGAGGAUGACGUCAAAUCAUCACGGCCCUUACGCCUUGGGCUACACACGUGCUACAAUGGCCGGUACAGAGAGCAGCCACCUCGCGAGGGGGANCGAAUCUAUAAAGCCGGUCACAGUUCGGAUCGGAGUCUGCUAAC
rnacentral:rRNA from 1 species